rnacentral:rRNA from 1 species
GACGAACGCUGGCGGCGUGCUUAACACAUGCAAGUCGAACGAUGAACCCGGAGCUUGCUCCGGUGGAUUAGUGGCGAACGGGUGAGUAACACGUGAGUAACCUGCCCUUGACUCUGGGAUAACUGCGGGAAACUGUAGCUAAUACCGGAUACGACCCUCGGCGGCAUCGCCAGGGGGUGGAAAGAAUUUCGGUCAAGGAUGGACUCGCGGCCUAUCAGCUAGUUGGUGAGGUAACGGCUCACCAAGGCGACGACGGGUAGCCGGCCUGAGAGGGUAACGAGCCACAAUGGGGCGGAGACACGGCCCAGACUCCUACGGGAGGCAGCAGUGGGGAAUAUUGCACAAUGGGCGCAAGCCGGAUGCAGCUACGCCGCGUGAGGGAUGACGGCCUUCGGGUUGUAAACCUCUUUUAGUAGGGAAGAAGCGAAAGUGACGGUACCUGCAGAAAAAGCACCGGCUAACUACGUGCCAGCCGCCGCCGUAA